UGGGGAAUAUUGGACAAUGGGCGAAAGCCUGAUCCAGCCAUGCCGCGUGUGUGAAGAAGGUCUUCGGAUUGUAAAGCACUUUAAGUUGGGAGGAAGGGCAGUAAGCGAAUACCUUGCUGUUUUGAUGUUACCAACAGAAUAAGCACCGGCUAACUCUGUGCCAGCAGCCGCGGUAAUACAGAGGGUGCAAGCGUUAAUCGGAAUUACUGGGCGUAAAGCGCGCGUAGGUGGUUCGUUAAGUUGAAUGUGAAAGCCCCGGGCUCAACCUGGGAACUGCAUCCAAAACUGGCGAGCUAGAGUAGGGCAGAGGGUGGUGGAAUUUCCUGUGUAGCGGUGAAAUGCGUAGAUAUAGAAAGGAACACCAGUGGCGAAGGCGACCACCUGAGCUAAUACUGACACUGUGGUGCGAAAGCGUGGGGAGCAAACAGG
rnacentral:rRNA from 1 species